GAAACCAACAGGGAUUGCCCUAGUAACGGCGAGUGAAGCGGCAACAGCUCAAAUUUGAAAUCUGGCCUUCUGGCCCGAGUUGUAAUUUGUAGAGGAUGAUUUUGGCGCGGUGCCUUCCGAGUUCCCUGGAACGGGACGCCUUAGAGGGUGAGAGCCCCGUACGGUUGGUCGCUAAGCCUCUGUAAAUCUCCUUCGACGAGUCGAGUAGUUUGGGAAUGCUGCUCUAAAUGGGAGGUAAAUUUCUUCUAAAGCUAAAUACCGGCCAGAGACCGAUAGCGCACAAGUAGAGUGAUCGAAAGAUGAAAAGCACUUUGAAAAGAGGGUUAAAUAGCACGUGAAAUUGUUGAAAGGGAAGCAUUUAUUACCAGACCUUUUCGUUGUGGAUCAUGUGGUGUUUUCACCGCUGCACUUCGCUUCGUUCAGGCCAGCAUCGGUUUUCGUAGGGGGAUAAAAGCUUUGGGAACGUAGCUCCCUCGGGAGUGUUAUAGCCCUUUGCAUAAUACCCUUACGGGGACCGAGGACCGCGCUUCGGCAAGGAUGCUGGCAUAAUGGUAAUCAAUGACCCGUCUUGAAACACGGACCAAGGAGUCGAACAUUUGUGCGAGUGUUUGGGUGUUAAACCCUCACGCGUAAUGAAAGUGAACGUAGGUGAGAGCCCUUACGGGUGCAUCAUCGACCGAUCUUGAUGUCUUCGGAUGGAUUUGAGUAAGAGCAUAACUGUUCGGACCCGAAAGAUGGUGAACUAUGCGUGGAUAGGGUGAAGCCAGAGGAAACUCUGGUGGAGGGCUCGCAGCGGUUCUGACGUGCAAAUCGAUCGUCAAAUCUGCGCAUGGGGGCGAAAGACUUAUCGAACCAUUAAACC
rnacentral:rRNA from 1 species